rnacentral:rRNA from 1 species
CGCUAAUGUGCCCCGGACUCUGGGAUAGCUGACCGAAAGGUCAGGUAAUACCAGAUGACAUAUCCUGACGGCAUCGUCGGGAUCUCAAAGGUCCGCCGGUCUGGGAGCAGGCGAUUUCGUAUCAGCUAGUUGGUGAGGUAACGGCUCACCAAGGCGACGACGCGUAGCCGGACUGAGAGGUUGGCCGGCCACAUUGGGACUGAGGCACUGCCCAG